rnacentral:tRNA from 1 species
GGCUCCGUUGACAAACUGGUUAAGUCGCCAGACUUUCAAUCUGGUUAUUGCGGGUUCGAGCCCCGUCGGAGUCACCA